AGAGUUUGAUCAUGGCUCAGGAUGAACGCUAGCUACAGGCUUAACACACGCAAGUCGAGGGGCAUCAGUUUGGUUUGCUUGCAAACCAAAGCUGGCGACCGGCGCACGGGUGAGUAACACGUAUCCAACCUGCCUCAUACUCGGGGAUAGCCUUUCGAAAGAAGAUUAAUAUCCGAUAGCAUAUAUUUCCCGCAUGGGUUUUAUAUUAAAGAAAUUCGGUAUGAGAUGGGGAUGCGUUCCAUUAGUUUGUUGGCGGGGUUAACGGCCACCAAGGCUACGAUGGAUAGGGGUUCUGAGAGGAAGGUCCCCCACAUUGGAACUGAGACACGGUCCAAACUCCUACGGGAGGCA
rnacentral:rRNA from 1 species